AAUCAUUCAUUUAAACACAAAAUUGCAGCAAACCAAAGGUGAAAUCCGUAGCUCUUCAUUUCCAAAUUCUCCAAAAUUUCAAAUCUUCAUAUCUUUUUCGUUUCUCAACGAAAUUGAGCGAUUCUUGCGGUCACGGAACGAGGAAGUGAUUAUCUACAACUCUAUGGCAUCAAUUUAAGUGUAAUUGUAAGCUUGUAAUGAAGGUUAUGGAUGAUGAAAUUGGAGCUUUAAACCUACGGCAAUAGAGACAUCAUCAAGACUCGACGAAGCGACUAUCGACAAGGCUCGAUGGGAACGGAUCGAGAUGUCUUCGUGUUUAUUUGAAGAAUUUGGAUAGCAAGUGGUGAGUACACUUUAAAUUACUCGCUAAUAUUCAUAAAGCUACGUAUUUUAAUACGAAAAGCUAUAUGAAUAUUUAUAUAUUUGAAAAGUUUGUUUUUAAAUUGUAUACGUAUGUAUGUUUUGAAAAUGAUGUUUUAUCGUAAUGUGUUAAUUUGAUAAUAACAUAAAUGUUAAGGUACCGGGGAUGGGUAAAGUAAAAUAACGUGAAUUGAACCAAAUACAAAUAAGAAAAGUACAGUACAUUUCUAUAUGUACUAAUAAAUCGAAUAUCGAAUAAUAUACAAGUAUCAGAUCAAAUAUGAAUAAGGAAAUAUAGUACAUUCCGAUAUGUACUAUCAAACAUAAUAAAUACCCAUACGUGCGUGUGUUAUAGAUGUAUGCUUGUAGAUUGUAAUGUGCAUGCCAUGGUCCAUAAAGGAUCAAUACAACAUAACGAAAAAUACAAAAAACGUAAAAUGAGAAUUGUACUAUGGUACACAAAAUAAUAAGAACUGAGAUACAAGGUUGAACUCGGUAGAAUUAUCCCGGGACCUGUAUCUCAUCCAUUCUCGAUGAUAAUCCUCGGAACUUAUACAUAAUAAAAAGUAAGUGCGAUACAUCGAGAAUCAAUACGAAAUAAGAUCGAGGCACAAUGUGAACAAGCACUCCUAUUAAAUGUCAAUAGAAAUUAUAUGAAUCGACAGUUAAGUUCAAAAGACCUGCAGGGUGCAGAGUCCGAAUGCAGACACGAAGGUAACUCGGUUGAACUAUCUCGGGACCCGUGUCUAAGGAGUAACUCGGUUGAAUUAUCUCGGGACUCCUAUCGAUCGUUUGGGAUUGAGAAAUGGUACAAGUAACUCGGUUGAAUUAUCUCGGGACUGUACCAUAUGGUUAUGGGUAACUCGGUUGAACUAUCUCGGGACCCAACCAUAAGGAUCAAGUCACAAGAGACUUGCCAAUGAUUUAGUUCGACUUAGAAUCAUGAUAAUAUAAACUUAGAUUUAAGAUUCAGUCGAAAACUAAUGCAACAAAACGAGAAAGAAAAAUAUCAAUAUCAUAAUAAGAAAUCAAGGACGACAAAUACUUAUAAACUAUAAGUUUAUGAAAUAAACAAAGAGUUAUGAAGGAAAGUAAAGAAGAUACGCAAUAUGAUGUCAAAAGAUUAUUUUUGAUAUAUAAAAUGGAUUUUCAAUGGAUUUUAACCCUUUAUGUGAUAUUGCGUGUAAUUUGGUGAACUCACUCAGUUUUAUACUGACCAUGUUGCUCCUCCCAUUUUUUUCAAGGAUGGUAUGAUAUGAUUUGAAGAGUUAAGCUUCCGAAGUUUUAAUUCUCGGAAGUCAUUUGCACAAGAAGUAAAAAAAGGUUUUCAUUCUAGCGGUCCGCAGUAGUCUAGAUGUUUUUGUCUAUGUAUUUAUCUAGCGGAUUUUAACUCUGAUAUUUUUGUAAAAUGGGGUCACGUGUUUUUUUUAUAAAUGAAAAAUGAUUUGAUUUGCGAAAAAUUUACACAGGAUUUUAGGCUUGCUACGGGUUUCGGAGCUACCACUCCCAUUCCCUAGCGCCGGUCGCGGCUCAUUAUUUUGGGUCGUG